rnacentral:tRNA from 1 species
GGGGCUGGGGCUCAGUGGUAGAGCGCCUGCCUUGCACGUGUGAGUCACUUGGUUUGAUUCUCAGCACCG